rnacentral:lncRNA from 1 species
GCAACCAUUUCAUUUUCAUUUCACAAGCAAACAUUUGUUAAGCUUCCAAAAUCGAAGGUCACCACCGUUCUCGCCGCCUACUCUACUAUCAGAAAAGGUAAUUUUUAUUUGAUGAAAAUAAAUUUGAAAUUUAUUUAUGCUAUAAAGAAUAUAUAGUUUAGCCAAUAAGAAAUUUAGCAAAUACUAUUAUGUUAAAAAAAUCAUGCCAAACAUUUAUACAUUAUAUACUCUUGAAACCUUUUCCAAUUCAAACUUCAGUCUGCAAUGUUAAGUAUUCAAAUAUUUUAGGAUCCAUUUUUUUAGCAUGCUACAUGGCUAUGUUGAAUUGAUAUUUUGACUUUUUUAAGAUUUUUUAAUUUAACACAAAUAAUAAUUUUAAAUUUGUACUUUUUUACGUGAAAAAAAUAGUUGAACUUGGAGCUGCUACUUUUAACUUCGCUGUUAAAAGUUUAGAAAAUCACUCCAGAUUCGUGGAGUGUUUUAGUCUAACACUUCGCACCACGCAGCGCAGAGUGCUAUACUCUGCGCUAUGCGGAGUUGACUCCGCAAUGCGUGGAGUGAUCACACUCUACGCAGCGUGGAGUGUUUCAAGGAACAAGCUGCGCUAUGCGACUUGCUCACACUCAGCUUUGCUCGAAGUCACUCCAUCUAUCACGGAAGAGCGCCACUCCGCACGACACUCCGCAAUGUGCUAACUAAUUACACUCCACACUGCAUUUUCGUAAAAGAAAUAACCAAAUUUUCAUUAUACAAUUUAUAAAGUUAUGAUAAUUUUAUAACAAAUACAUGUAAUUAUAUAUAGUAAUAUCAAAAUUUUCGUAAAAACUUUAUUUUGAUUAAAUAAUUACAUUAAUAUCCUAAAUUCCACUUCAAUAUUCGCUAAAUAUACCUUUAUUUGUAUUUAUCAUUUUAAUGUUGAGUUUCCAUGUUCAAGAAUGAAAUGUGAAUUAUGAAUUUAACCUCUAUAUAAUUUUCUUAAUAACUACGAUACAAAUAACAAAAAUAAAUAAACUUAAAAAAAUUAUUUAAUACAAAAUCACAUAUCAAAUAAACUUAAAACUUUAUACACAGCACAUUUUAAUCAAUUUUUAAAAUUUCGACAUUAUUGUAAAAAAAAAUCAAAUAAAAUCAAAUUUCCCAGUAUUUUCUAGUUCUAUUUUCAAAGCUAUCAAUACUUUACUUUUCUUCUUCUUUCUCAAUCGUUAAAACAUAUUUUCUUCUCUUCAUUUUUGCUGCCAGCCAAAACCCUGGCACUUCUCUUCACAUUUUUUAGGAUUUCCAAUAGAAACUUGGGUUCUUAUUCACGUUUCAAGAUUGUGGUCUUAUCUUGUGAUAUUGUAUUCAUUUUACACACUUUUUCGAACUCGUCUUCUACAAAAUCACUCGUUAUUGUUAAACUUUGAAAGUUUUGCUGUCUCGCUGUUAAUUAUUUCUUGUUAGUCAAACAAGUAGACAUUCGUACAGAGAUAUGGGGUUUUUGGUUUGUUGUAAUUCUUUCUGAUCUUAUUGCAGGUUUUCUACAUAGUUUUUUUUUUUUGACUAUUUUUGAAAGGCCCCAAUUUUUAAGAAUUUAAUGCAGAGAAGUGGAAAUUUCAGAAUGGGAAUUCAGUUUUUUGACUAUUUCAUGUAAAGGGUUUAAAAUUUGAAAAGCUCCAAUUUUCAACACUUUGAAUGUAGAUGGGUGUAAAUUUCUGAAUGGGAAUUGGAAAUAUAUUAUUUUUGCAAUAUUGAAAAAAAUUACACGUUCAUUUUUGGCUUUGAUUUCUUAAGAUUUACUUUUUAAAAUUCCUAAAUAUGUCUUCAAUAUUAUCUUUCUAUUUUUUUGUGACAGUUGGCCUUUUGUUGUUUUCAAUAUAUUGUAUUUCAAUCUUGUAAAUUAUUUUAAUUGUUAGUUUGUCAUUUCAUCGAUUCGUAAUAGUUGAAUCUCACGUUUGUUCAUUAACAUUUUGCAAGGUUUUAAUAGCGUCUCUUGGGAUCUUUGUCGUUUUCAUUUUGUGCUGGCAAUAGGUAUGAGUACUUAUACUUUAAGGUAUAAUAUUACUUUAGUGUAAUCACAUGUUUCUAUUCUUUUCAAAAGAUAUGUAAAUUUUUAUUAAAUGAUUCUUCAUUCUUUUUUUUUUGUCCUUUUUAGUCAUUUAGCUUUUUGUUAGUGUAAAUGUCUUGUGUAUUUUUAUAUCCAUGGUUAUGAAAGAGAGUGCUAUGUGGUUUGUCUACUUGUUUGGCUGCCAAGGCAAAUUAUUGAAAAUAUUGAUUUUUUAUGGUAAAGAACUUACUUUCACAAAAGAAGAGAAACGAAAAAAAAAAUCAGAAAAUCUACAUUAAAUGAAGAAAUUGAAGGCAUGAUAAUUAUAUUUACCUUCAGAGAAGAAGAGAAAUGGAAACGACGUUGAAUAGUGAUGAAAUCUCAGAUCAUUAAAGGAAUUUCUUUUAAUUUCUUCAAAGGUUGCUAAACGAAGAAACGGUGUUGUAGUCAUCGAUAAAAAUACACCCCCUUAAACUAUUUUUUUUCCUUUUGAGAUUUUUAAUCUGUUAAUGUGUGGAAUAUAUACAAAUUUGAUUCAUUAAUGUGAUGCAGCUUGUUUUCUUUGGAUUGAUUGAUUGAUUUAAUUAUAAGUAAUAAUUCUUUCAAAUUAUUUUGUGUUUGAAUUCGCUAAAGUAGCCAAACCUUUAAUUUGCUUUCCUUCUUUCUUUUUUGGGUUAGUGAAAUACACAUGCUGGACCAUAGUAUGUUUGAAUUGAGUAAAUAACAAAACUACUAAGUCGCUUUCUAUUUUUUCUUUUUUGAACUUUUGAAAUAUAGUGGAUUGCAUGAUUUGAUGGUCAAAUUGGGUAUUCAAUAUUGUCUACAUUUAAAAUGAAUCAAAAUAAGUGCUUAAAUGUUGUUAUAUGAAUAGAAUGAAUUAAGUUUUCAAGAAAAUGGAAGGACAUAGUAAAUGUAGAAAUGGGUUAUGAGUAAUUGUAUUCAUAUACAUAUUGUUAUGUAGUUUUUUUUUACAGUUUCAAUUUUUUAUACCAACAAAAACUAUAUAUUCUAACCUCAUAGAAAUAAACCAAGAAUAUGCUUUGUGAACUUGAAGUUUUUACAAGCAUCCACAACCACAAGUGACAAGGUAAAGAAGCUAAAUUAAGAUUUGAGAUACUGGGUUCUUAUAUUAUUAUAAGUAUACUUAUCCCGAUCAAAAAACUGAAAGAAAGUUUGUUUUACCUAUUAGAAUUUCAAUGGUAUUUACAUAUGAGAUUUAAAUUUGAGUGGGUAAAAACUCUCUACCUUCUUUUAGAUGGCAUUAUGGAUGAAAAAAUGGCAAUGAAUCCCAAUCUUAAAUGUGAACUUUUAAUACAAAACUUCUCUUUCCACAAAUCUAAUUGAUAGGAACUAUAAAUUAUAGAUUCAUAUAUUCUACUUAAAAAGAUGAUAAAGAAAAUAACAUAAAUGAGUCUGCCUUAUUUAUCUACAACCUAAUAUUUGGAAAUCCUUAAUUAUAAAUCAAAAUUCAAAUCCAAUCCUAAAAUUAUUACAUUCAAUUGGCCAAGCUGUUAGAGAUAAACAAAAAGGGGGAAUUCCUUUGACACAAAGAAUAGAGAAAUUUGACCAAUCAAUAAAUUUAUUAAAUGUUCAAUUUUUUUCACGGCUGAAUAUAACUUUGGUUCACCCACAAAUUAAUAAAGCAGCACGGUAUCUUAAAUUGAUUUACGUUGUCAUUGAGAUUGUGUCGGUUGAACUUAACUACAUUACUCAGUAAUUUUCAUUUGGAGUAAUUUUUUGCACAUCUUAAAUUUUAUCCACACAUUAUGUGUUCUUGAAUGUGUAUUAGGUCUAAAUAGGCCCUACAAAGCUCGAACCUCUAAUAAGAAGAUAAUUCUAUAGCUACAUAUUUAACAUAUGAGUUGUACUCAAACCUAGUUUUAUUUAUUUCUAAUUCUUUGCAGGAUUGUCUUUGACAUAUAUAAAAGAGAAGAAAAGUUAGUCACCGAAGAGCUGUUUAAGAAAAUUCCUCUGUUGGUUUCUAAGGUAGCAUUCCUCACACUUAUUCUUGUUAUUAUGUUUGUUCUAUGUGCUUACUCGUAAGGGUUGAACAAACAAUUUUCAGGUUUCUCAUUAGAUAAAUGGUGAUGAAUGUUGUUUUUACAUUCUUUAGUACAUAAAAAUAUUCUAAAAGAGUGCUCCGAAAAAUUUUAACAUCUUUGCGGGCUACCCGUAUUUUGUAACUUUUCUUUUCCUUUUUCGUUUCAACAAAAUUUGUCUAUUUUCAAGGGAUAUGUGUUUUGUGUGUGUGUGUGUGUGUCUAUAUAUAUAUAUAUAGCUAUAUUUUUGUUUGAGUUAGCAUAUUACGCAAAAUAGAAAAUGAAGAUGUGUUUUGACGUUUGUUAUUGCCUAUUUCUAAGUUGGUGUCUGAAUAAGGAAAUUAUAGUUUGAAUAGACAAAAACUGCUUUCUUGUUAUAGAGUAGUUUAACAAAAUAUUUAAUACUAGGGUUCUUUAUUAUCAAGCAUAUAUGAUUCCUAUCAUAUACCUCUUUAUUUCCAUGUACAAAAAG